UAUUGGCCUAACAUCUUCUUUAAGGCGGAAAAGGUUGGUAGGUCUCCUCCAUGGUAGCGGCCUUGAUAUCUUGGUUUCUUCAAUCAAUCCAAGAUUCUGUUAAUUUAGAGAAUAAAGUAAAUGAUUCAAAAUCCCGAGUGCAGACUUCUCCAUGUUAAGUGUGUAAAGAUGCAACGUCUUAAUUCCACUAGCCAUAAUUUUCUUGCACAUU
rnacentral:lncRNA from 1 species